rnacentral:rRNA from 1 species
GUUACUCUGCGAAAGCAUCUGCCAGGAUGUUUUCAUUAAUCAAGAACGAAAGUUAGGGGAUCGAAGACGAUCAGAUACCGUCGUAGUCUUAACCAUAAACGAUGCCGACCAGCGAUUAGGAGACGUUGAAUACAAAACACCACCAUCGGCGCGGUCGUCCUUGGCGUUCGUGUUCACGCACGAGCGCGAGGGCGGUUUAGCCCGAUGGCACCGGUGAAUGACUCCCCUAGCAGCUUGUGAGAA